UCAUCGUUGCCGCCAAAAGUGACGGCACGAGGAAAAUUUUCACUUCUGUUAGCCAUUUUCGUAUCGAGUUGCGUACUGCGUAGAAGCAGAAAGUUUGUAUUUGUACUGAAAACUAAAUGUUUGAAGUGUUCCGUUUUGCUAAAUAUUGUUGAUUUUUGGAAUCAGGAGCGUAGGAUCAUUAUCAGGCAAAAACGCUGAUAUUGGAUUGACCAUCUCUGUUGAACAGAGCGCUAAAAGUAGCAAAUCGGACUCUUUGCUCUCGAUACGAGGUUGAACUGAGU